rnacentral:lncRNA from 1 species
CAAAGAGGAAGGCAGCAGUAUGUAUUCUCUGUAGGACCCCUAUUUGUGACCAAUUGUAAGAUCAUCUGAAGAUCGAGUCCGAUUGCCUGGCCAGGCCGGGCUGGGUGGUAUGUGCCCCCGUCACGCCGGAGGUUCCUGCUUUAGCGACGCCAAAGAUUGGGUGUGAGGGCAGCCCGCGGUGACAGAGACACGGAUCGGACCGAGAGAAAAAGGCUGUGGGCUUCACUGAGCAGAGUGACGUGCUUGAAGAGGGUUCUAUUGAAGAGGGUUCAUUGUAUUCAAUCCCACUAUGACCCAAGAUGAGAGAGUUCUUCUCAUUACUUUCUUUUUUCUGACACAGAGUUUUGCUCUUGUCGCCCAGGCUGGAGUGCAAUGGAGGGAUCUUGGCUCACUGCAACCUCUACCUCCCAGGUUCAAGCAGUUCUCCUGCCUCCACCUCUAGAGUAGCUGGGAUUACAGGCACGUGCCACCACACUCGGCUAAUUUUUGUAUUUUUAGUAGAGACAAGGCUUCACCAUGUUGGCCAGUCUAGUCUCGAACUCCUGACCUCAGGUGAUCUGCCUGCCUCGGCCUUCCAAAGUGCUGGGAUUACAGACAUAAGCCACCUCGCCUGGCCUCUUCUCAUUACUUUCAUGCUGAAAUGUUUUAUAACAUAUACUACAACAAGCAGGAAUAUCAAAUAUCCUGCUUUAGGAUCUCCAUCUCAAAAGAAGAAAAAAAUACCUCCCAACCCUGUGUGACGGUUAAUAUAGAGUGUCAACUUGAUUGGAUUGAAGGAUGCAAAGUAUUGUUCCUGGGUGUUUCUGAGAGGGUGUUGCCAAAGGAGAUUAACAUUUGAGGCAGCGGACUGGGAGAGGCAGACCCACCCUCAAUGUGAGUGGGCACCAUCUAAUCAGCUCCAGCGCUGCUAGGAUAAAGCAGUCAGAGGAACGUGGAAGGAACGUGAGUCUUCUGGCCUCCAUCUCUCCCGUGCUGGAUGCUUCCCGCCCUCAAACAUCGGACUCCAAAUUCUUGAGCUUUUGGACUCUUGGACUUACACCAGUGGUUUGCCAGGGGCUCUCAGUCCUUCAUCCACAGACUGAAAGCUGCACUGUCGGCUACCCUGCUUUUGACGUUUUGGGAGGCAGACUGGUUUCCUUGCUCGUCAGCUUGCAAAUGGCCUAUUGUGGGACUUCCUCUUGUGAUCGUUCAAUUCACAGGACCUCCACAGUGUGCCUUUUGCUGGGUAGGAAAAUGCCAGCCAGCUUGGAAAACAAGAAGACACAUUUAUGUCUACCAUGAGCAUUGGCAUCAGCCAAUUAUCCCACACGUUUUCGGCUAGUCAGUGCUGAAGAGAGCAAGAAUUUCAACCCUUCUUGCUACAUUCAAGACAUAGAAAUCCAGCCAGAAGACAACUCGAGAUAUUUUGUGGAUCUAUGCCUUUCCUUCAGAAAAGCAAAUAUCUACCAUAAAAAAACACUGGUCCAAUAUUCACUUCUAUAAGAAAUGCAGGGGCAAAUAAAUUAUGGAUUUUAUUAUCGCUAAUAGAGUCACUUAACCAUUACUCCUUACUACAUUCUGCUUUUCUAACAAAAUUUCGACUGAAUAUUCUCCCUCAGAGCCUCCAAAAGGAACCAACUGAUGACAACUGAUUUUGGACUUCUGGCCUCCUGAACUAUAACAAAAUAAACAUCUGUUGUUUUAAGCAAGCCAGGUUGUGAUUGUUACAGAAGCUCUAGGAAACUAAAAUACUUAAUAUCUAAGUAUCUUAAAACUAAGAUACCUUCUUAUACCUUCUUAUCAUGCGAUCAUAGAAAAUAUGUCCAAUUAGUCACAAGUGGGAUUGGGCAAGAGAAGAUGGAUAAGGGGUGUAAAUCCUUCACCACAAUUAAGAAAUUAUACGUAGAAAUUGCAUUCUAUUGGUGAAGCAAUAAAAUCAUUGUUGGGAAUAAGAACAGCAUUACAGUGUGGUGGCUCAAACCUGUACUCCCAGCAAUUUGGGAGGCUGAGGCAGGCGAUUCA